UCCGAGUUGACCCCGGCAGUCUCCCAUGAGUCCCCGGCAUUACCCGCUGGCAACAUGGAACGAGGGUUGCGCUCGUUGCGGGACUUAACCCAACAUCUCACGACACGAGCUGACGACAGCUAUGCACCACCUGUGAUCGAGUCCCGAAGGAGGGCUGAAUUUCUCCAGCUUUCCCGACCAUGUCAAGCCUUGGUAAGGUUCUUGGCGUCGCAUCCAAUUAAACCACAUGCUCCGCUGCUUGUGCGGGCUCCCGUCAAUUCCUUUGAGUUUUAAUCUUGCGACCGUACUCCCCAGGCGGGGAACUUACUCCGUUAGGUGCGGCACCGGCGGUAACCCGCCGACACUUAGUUCCCAUCGUUUAGGGCGUGGACUAC
rnacentral:misc_RNA from 1 species